rnacentral:lncRNA from 1 species
GGAAGUCCGGGCGUGCAGAGUGGAGCCUGGCGCAGACGCGGUUCACGCCCAGCGAACCCGCCCAUUCGACAGGAUACUAGCUAGCCCUGUUCUGACGCGAGGCAGGUGGCCAAUAUUUGAGACAAUGAAUGAAAUUCAAGGUUCUGGCUACGUUCAACGAGUUGGCUACGUUCUGUUGGCACUAGAUAGAGAUGCUUGCGAAACAGAAGGUAAGCCUAAGCAGUUCCCUGGUGGACACAAGCCGGUGGUCUCAGUUCUUCAGAAAAUACGAGGUUGGGUCGCUGCCGGAAGUUGCUCAGUCCAAGGCAACAACAGGGACGAAGUUUUCUCCCUGUUCCCUCGACUUUGCGCUGAAGGAGUCAAGUUAAAGAAGGAUUCAUUGGCAUUGCAUUCCCAGGAAGGAGAAGAAAAAGAAGUCUCUCGUCAGUUUACGUGAAGCCCCUGAGCCAUGAACGCGCUUCUGAAAAUGACCCCUCCCAGGAGCCGUGGGCGUGACGUCAUCGCGGCGCGACGUCAAAGCCUUAAGCACCAGCUCUGGGGCACAGAUUGCUGACCCUCACUCCUUCGCCCAGUGGUACUGUCAUCGCCUCUGACCCCCUUCUAUCGCGAUGGACAACCUUGGGGAGUCGCCCACGGACAAAGCCGGGGAGCCAGGGGAGUCAGAGGAGACGAGGGCUACUCCUGGGGCCCCGGUGUCCGCCGACACUGAGGGAAUCCCGGAGGAAACCGACCAGGUUGGAGACGCGGACUCGAAAGAAGCCGCAGCGGAGGAAAGCGAGCUCAAGAGUCAGGAUGUCUCAGACGUAACAGCAGCUGAGAGGGAAGACCCAUCUUUACUUACUCCUGCAGCCAAAAAGCUGAAAUUAGACACCAAGGACAAGAAGGAGAAGAAGCAGAAGGUGGACGAAGACGAGAUUCAGAAGAUGCAGUGAGUCACUAGCCGUCCCCAGCCCAGGCUCUAGCUCCACUCUGCACAUUCACUCUCACUCGC